ACGCAAUUCUCUUGCGUGUGCUUGAAAAGAAACUCCCCUCGCUGUGAUUGAACUCAACUCCAAUUUGCAUUUAACUCUCGGGAGAACAGAGUUGAAGGAGCCGACGCCGCUGCCUCCGGGUCCCACUCGUCACACCUAUCCCCAACCUCCGGCUCCGCCCGCAGCGAAGCAGCGCCGCUAUCUUCGCCUGCUGCUGCUGCGCGCGCGCGCGAGUGGCCCGAACCCCCGCUCUAUAUCCUCUGCUCAACCCUCCCGCAACGCGCUCCAUCCUCCCUCUCCCCCUCAUGGCUUGGCCGCCUCUGCGCUCGCAAUUUGAUCCGACCCGCUCGCAUCAGGCCUUGUGCCCGCAAUCGAGCAUCCGGCGACUCGCCGUGCCCCGAAGACCGCAUCCCUUUGUUCCAUGGUUCAGUCCUUCGAGCUCUGGAGGCAGGGAGCAUGUAAUCGAUUCCCCCGCCGCGCCGCCGAUUGCCCUCGCCGGUGAGCCUCGUCCGAUUCCAUCCGCGUCUCAGUGCGCCAUUGAUCUCUACCUGAUAAUAUUUACCCCACUUAAUUUGCAGCCGCCCGCACCGGAGAGAUCGANN
rnacentral:lncRNA from 1 species